rnacentral:tRNA from 1 species
GGGGUUGUGGCUCAGUGGCAGAGCACUUGCCUUGCACAUGAGGCACUGGGUUCGAUCCUCAGCACCUUG